rnacentral:lncRNA from 1 species
AUGGGAGUAAUCCUUACCCCAUUGCAACUACUGGAAGGAAGCCUUCCUGGAAAAGAGUCCAACACAGAUCCUGGCAGUUUUUCUUGGAGACUGUCCUCUGACGCUUGUUGGGGUCUAGGAUCCUUCCAUAAUGAGAUUCUGACAUCUCUACACAAGGCUUCCCAGGUCUCUGUGGAGGGAAAGAGAGUUGGAGGAUUGCAUAGGCUGGAUUUCAGGAAUAUUCUCUGGAAAGGAGGAUGGCGGUGAUUGCCCCAGGCGCUAUGUUCCAGCACCCAACACUGCUGUAACUUAGGGACAUAGUGUGUUUAAAAAUGAAAUAAAAGAAAGCAAAGAAUACA